CAGACCGAACUGUCGUGAUUUCAUAAUCUAGCCGCGACACACACACCCACAAAGACACACACCAGGAAAAAAAAUCCGAGAGAAAAAAAGAGAAGUACCCAAGAAUGACAAGAAUGACCCCAGCUCAACAACUCAGCACAGAACGAGGAGAACUGGAGGAGGUACAGUCACUGCAGGAUCUGAAGGUCUACCUCAGGUACCGUAUCCAGAUGUUGAAACUAUGAAAGAAGGAUGCUGGAUGCUUUAUAAUGGAUGGAAAAGUUGAGAUCGUCUGCUCGGACAUCAUGGAAGACAUUUGUCUGUAGUGAAAUCAGAGAAAGUCAAACAGUGUUAAAAACGUGUUCCAUAUGGUUUGUGGCCAAAAUGACUGGUGAGGAUCUUAGUGGACAUUACAUUACACAGCUGGUCAGUCUGUAUAUCUGUACAGAAGAAGAAUAAAUAACAUUCCUAACUGUAUGCCAGUAAAUAAUUCCAUGCCAUUGUUACCCACUGCAAAUGGGUCUGAAGGUCAGGGAAAGUUUGUUCCUGUGUUGCUGUGAUUUUAGAACAGUGUGUGUGUGUGUGUGUGUGUGUGUGUGUGAGAAAGAGAGAUGUUUUAAAAAUCUUGGCAUCUGGCAAUAAACAAAAAAACCACCUGCAAUCUGGUGUGCCUUUUAUUUUUAAUUUUGACUGAAUAAACAGCUUUUAGUUAUAAAAUAUAAACUUGGUAAUAAAAAGUAAAAGUAGAUUAAUGUGGCAUGUCAAACCACUGACUUUUCCACCGGUCAGGCUAAUGAGAGCAGGAGUCACAGAGUCAGCAAGCAAGCUGUAAAGGUAAGGAAAACAUUUGCAGAUGAAUGAUGAUCUAUAAAGAAGCCUAUGGUUUUCAUGGAUAUAACGAACAUAUGCAUCGUUAUAAAGCAGGGCUCGACAUUAACGCCUGCCCGGGUUUAACUUCAUACUAAGGUCAAAAAUAUUGCUGCAUUUUUUCCCGAGUAGCUUCACAAUGGGUCUGUGUUCAUGUAUUUGCUUCACUGCUGCACUCCAGGCCUCAUUGUUUUUUUUGGAAAGUUAGUUCCGGGUCUUGAGCAUCAACCACUAAACAACCUGGUCCUAACGUGAAUGUUGACAUUUUUAACCAGACGAUUAGAUGAACAUCAGUCUGUAUAAUCACACCUCCCCCCAUGUGAGGAAUGUACACAAAAGCAAAUCGGUAAAUUCCAAGGAAGCGAGCCGUCACUUCCGGAGAUCAUUCCGUUGAAAAGGUCUAAAAAUAUAAUUUUGUAAACGUGGGGCGGAAAUUUUGUUUUUAUUUUGUUUUUUCCAGACUUGUUCACAGCAUGAUCUUGACUUUAUCAGAUGUUUAGAGAACAACACACACACACACACACACACACACACACACACACACACGUUUUCUCCGUAACUUGGCAAGUCACACCGAUCACCCGAUUCACCAGGAAUGCAAACAUUUGCUUCCUUUGAGACACGUGAACUCAUGCUGAGUCACAGCACGCUCUCGCUCGGAGUAAUGCACUGUCCACCCUCUUCCACAUACCUGACCUGUGAUUGGCUGGUGUCUCUUUGAUUGACAGGACAGAGCACUAAGGGCACGUCGUCAGAUUUCCGACUCAGCUUCUUCUGAAAAUAAGAUUUUCUUAUUCUCAGUUUUCUUAUCCUCUGCCAUCAUCCUGCGUAAAGCGCUAUCCGCCCUCUUCCACAUACCUGACCUGUGAUUGGCUGGUGUCUCUGUGAUUGACAGGACAGUGCCGGGUCUGAUUUGCUUUCAGAAUUCCAGCCACGGAUAACUGCGUCGUCGUCAGCUUUUCCGACUCGUGUUCUUCUGAAAAUAAGUUUUAAGUUGCUUGAUUGAGUUUGGAAUUGCGCUCACAUGCUAAUAACAUAAGAAGAAUAUUUCAUGGCAUAAAGCAAGGAAGGAAGGUCGUACUGUGACUUUCUCUGCAGUGGGUGUGGCCCAAACCCGAAACAUAUUCUCUAGAGAAUUAACAGACUCUUUUAUUGUAAAAGAUGAAAAGAUUAGCACCUCUCUCCUUUAACAGAGCCUCGUUUUUAGCACGCUAAUACCGUGUGUUUUGCUAUCUCAUCUGAUAAUUAAUACACAGAACCGAAUCGAAGGAGAAACGCUCCUGUCCUGAUCUCAGAUGGGAAAUUUUACAGACUAGAAUAAAUUCCACCUCUGACUGUGAUUCAGCGUGAAGCGGUAUUACAGGACCGACGGGUUGGCUCACGGACACUCGGGAACAGCAUGUUAUUAAAAAUAUCACCAGCUUUUACUCAGUAAUGCUUUUGUUUACAUUUUUACUCAAAAGAGUAUUACCUGAGCAGAACCAUGACCAGAUUAAUAAACCGAUUAUUCCUUCAGGAAUGCUCUUAUCCUGACCAAAAUCUUCAGUGUCCAGAUUUAAGAAAGUUUUACAGUGUAAGCGUUGUUAAAUGAUUUUUAUAACCGCAGAUAAAAAAAAAAAAAGUCAGAGAGUUUAGAUCGGAGAUCUGAUGCUGUUUUGGCUGUUAGCGUGCUAGCAUGCUAACAUUGCUGGUACCUGAGAUUUAAAUUAAUAUUGCUCGUUUUAUCUCCCAAAAGAUAUAUAGAAAAGUAGAAGCAUCGUUUAAAGCAGGUGCUAACCAUGAUUUAGAAUGCUGUGAAAGCGUCACACAGCGCAUCACGUUCUGGUUUAUUUUCAUUUCUUUCAAUGAGUUUCAUAUCUGAGCGUCCUGCAACAAAGAAAAAACCCUGGACAUCUCGCUGUUCUCUCUUCUUCAGCUGGACGAUCAGCUGUCCUUUACCUCGCACGUUGCUAACUCGAUACGCUGCUAACUCGAUACGCUCGCGUCGGUAUCUUCCUCACAACAUCAGAAAGAUUCCCACUUUUUAUCCACGAUCCACGCAUCAAGGCUUUUCUCAGAUCUGGCCCCAAGGUGGUGGAGUGAACUUCUCCAUGAUGACAGAACAGCUGAGUCACAGGUGAAGAUCGAACUCUUCCUGAAAUACUUGUUUUGAUUUAAAAACUAUUGCUCUCUUAAUCUGUGACUCACUGAACCAGCAUGGACGUAUUCAUCGCUAGGGGCUUCAAAGCACGUUUCUGCGUCACUCUGGAUUCGGGCGUCGGCCAAAUACCCUAACCAGGCGUUUGUUAGUACACAUAACAUCAUGCUCAGAAAUAAGACCCUUCUUAUCUGUUCUGUCGCAUUUAUUUCAUCCUUUUUUCUGAAUACUGAAAAGUUUCAGAUGGAACAAAAGGGAGGAAGGAAGGAUGGUGUGAAGAACGCAUGGGAGUAAAGCAUUUCAUUUGAAGCCUAUUUUUAAAGAAUUUGUUGCAGACAUCUUCUGCUCUGUGACUCAUCUUUUCUAUCAGCAUGUUAGUGAAUGGACUUAUGGGACGUUUUCGAUCAGUGUGUAUAAUAAACAAGUGAUGUUCAGGCUGUGAUCUAAAACGAGUCUGUUGGCUUUCAGUAUGUUUUAGACAUGUGUUUUUCCCUCUGUUGGAGAACCUUACACAGAAUUUUCCUGGUUGAAGAUCAAAUCUGAGCUGCUUUUUAGAUGAACAAGCACUCAGAGCAUCUCAGAGAGCAGAAAUGGGUUUAAUACCAAGAUUUACUUACAAGAUACAAACAUUUCUGUCUGAAAAAAGUUUUGUUUUUCUGAACUUUCAAUCAUCAACAUGGACACAACAAAAACAGGAGGAGUCUUCAGAAUCUGGGACAAGACACUGUCGAGUGAAAAUAGAAGAGGAAUUCAGAUCACAUUUUCUCUUGUAGUGAUGCCAGGAAACAUGGACUGGUCAAUGAAAUUAAGUAAUAAUGAGGCUGUGUAUAAACGGGAAGAGAAUUUGGGAAGUGAAUCUUUAUGAAGGAGGGAAACACACACACACACACACACACACACUUUGUGCUUUAAAUAUCACUACACACUUUUACAGACUGUUAGCUAAUACACCGAGUUUCAUGCAUUGUGACACAAAUGAAUGACGACAGGGUCAAACCAGGCUCCGAGAAAAUCUCACAAUCUCCUCUUACACCGGUCAGCCAUAACAUUCUGAGCAUUGACCAGUGAAGUGUAUAAGACUGAUGAUCUCCUCAUCAUGGCACCUGUUAGUGGGUGGGAUAUAUUAGGCAGCAAGUCAACAUUUUGUCCUCAAAGUUGAUGUUAGAAGCAGGAAAAAUGGACAAGCGUAAGGAUUUGAGUGAGUUUGACCAAAAGGGCCAAAUUGUGAUGGCUAGACCACUGGAUCAGAUCAUCUCCAAAACUGCAGCUCUUGUGGGGUGUUCCCGGUCUGCAGUGGACAGUGUCUAUCAAAAGUGGUCUAAGGAAGGAACAGUGGUGAACCGGUGACAGGGUCAUGGCCGCAUUUCUGCUGCUGGAUCGAUGAAGCUGGUAAUGAAAAUGAAUGAAGAAGUGACUUAGAACUAGUUAACAGACAGUAAGGACUUGUGUAGUGUAAAAGAAAGUGUAUUGUCUCAGUGAAGAUUUUGUGUGUGUGUGUCAGUGGGUCUCUGGUUCCGUUUUGGUUGUGGGAAACGGGUCUCCACCCUCCAUUGGGAAACCCACACAUUAGGAAAUGCUUCAUCGACACUCUGCUUAUUGUGUGUUACAUGAUUACUUUCACUUCCUUUCAAUUCAGGUUUAAUUUCAUUCCACGUUCACUCUAGGUUGAAAUUCGGUUUGUCCUUGGGUUGCACGAAAAGUCCCUUCUUGCAAGCUAAGAAGCUUUUAAUGAUCAAAUAAUCCCUGUGUCAUAGAGGAGACACCGAAUCUUCACAUGGGAAAUGUACACAGGUGUCUGAGACGCUUCACACCUUUUUGUGGUUUCUGGAGUUGUUGUAAAGCUUGAACAUGAUUUCAUGUCCUUUUUAUAUAUUUGGGCAUGAUUUCUACACAAUUCCAUUACCGUCACUUCAUUUUUAUACGUUAUUAUUCCACAGGCUGUUGACUUUCCGUGUGAGACGCUGGUGAAUGGAUUUUCAAUCAGUAUAAAUGAAUGAAUGAUGUCCAGUCUGUGAGUCUGACCUAAAAUGAGUCUGUCGAGGCUUUCAGUGUGUUUUAGACGUGUGUUUUUCCCUCUGUUGGAGAACCUUACAGAGAAUUUCACUGAUCAAGAUCAAAUUUCAGCUGCUUCGUAGAUGAACAAGCACUUGGACCACCUCAGAGAGCAGAAAUGGGUUUGAGAUCAACAUUUGAAGAUUUGAAAAAUUUGUAUUUUGUGGAACUUUUCUAUGAAUAUAUCACGUCUAGUAGGCUAAAAACAGUCCUGAGUGUCUACUUUCAUAUGAGCUUCAUAUCAACCUCCACUGUGGAGUGAGACAUGACCAACACGCUCAAUCAUCAACAUGGACACUACAAGAACAGGAGGAAACUCAGUGAUUAUUCCAUUUUCCAUCUGAUUGGUCAUUUUUAACAUCAUUUAUCCCACAAGGCUUCAUUUAUUUUCCCAUAAGGAUCAUGUCUCAUGUGUUGUUCCUACUGAGAUGCUUUUCUUCUCACCACACAUUUAGAGACUGACCUUGUUUUCUUGGGCUCUCUCUUAUCAGUGAGAUGUUUCCACCCACAGAACAAUCGCUCGCUCUGUGUUUUCUGUUUUUGUGUGUGAAAAUUCCAAGCGGGAGAUUCUUCUGAAAUACUCAAACCUGCACUUCUGGCACCAGCAACCAUCCAUGCCACGGGUAAAAGAACCGAAAUCCAAAUUUGUCUUCAUUUUGCUGUUUGUUUAACAUGAACAUUAUCUGCAGCUAAUUACCUGUAUCUAGCACACAAUUGGCUGAUUAGAUAACCACAUGGAAACUAGACACCUUUUAAAAGGCAACAUUGGACAAUUUCACAAGAUUUGGGGCCCUUUUUUCUGUUACCUCAAGAGAAAUUGUAUUCCUUAAUACAAAUGUGUUGUAACUUAAAGGUUAUUUUGAUUGUCACUGUAUUGUAUAUUAACAGGCUGGGGAAGGGAUGCUAUAUUUAAUGUGUGUGUUUUUCUUUUUCUUUUUCUCUUUCUUUUGUUGUAUGUUUGUUUUUGUAAGUUUUUGUGCAUAUCAGAAAAUUAAUCCUGGAACCUGUGAUUGCUACAAGGAUAUUUGAUGAUUAAAUAAAACUUAUUUGACAAAAGAUAACCGCACGGAUGAGUGGGUGUGCAGUGCAGGUGUUCCUAAUAAAGCGGACAAAUAUGAUUCCAUUUUUUUAAUGGAAAUGAUAACUGAUUUUUCAGAAAAUGUUUAAUUUUUUUUUUAACGAUUUCUAUUCCAAUUCAUAGAUUUUCACACGUAAAUUAAUCAGUAUAUUGAUUUAAAUGUAUAUAUGAUGUUUACCUAAAGGUUGAAAAAGCCCUUUCUUGCUGUUUGAACAGAAAUAUUAAAUCAUUAGCUUGCGGAAAAAGAUCUGUAGGCUACCUAAUCACGUCCCGGUGAGCUCUCCUCAACUUACAUGCUUAUGCACGAUGCUAACCACGCUUCGUUGAUCGUUUGCAUUUUCUCAGGAACUCAAUAUCCUUCCUGUCAGCAAACAGAAAGUGAGAGUGUGUCUCCGUAUCCUGCUUCUCCUGAGUGCUCUUGGGUGAUGGCCAAAGUUCACUGGAUGGAAUUCCUGACACUCUACACACUCACACACACCCUACACGCUACACACACACACAUGCUGAAAAAAACCCCAUCGGCUACAUUUCAGCCGUGAAAUUCAGCCUCGUGUGACUGAAGAGAGCGAUUCCUCAUCCGAAGAGAAACUGAAAAUGUUUAGAAAAGCAAGAGCUGCUGUGAAAAUGUAACAGGAGUGAACUGUGGAGAAUUGGGUCACGCCGACUUUGGAGAUUUACGGCAUUACGACACCAUCUUGUGGCAGUCGGGACAUGAUUUAGAUGAUGUGAUUUCAGUAAUUCUGUUUUAUUUAUAGUGCAACGGCAGCAAACCUGCAGAACCGAGUCGAUAAAAAGAAAAGGAUUCGGGUUCGUUAACAAUAAAAAUCAAUCUCUUUCUACUCUUUUUCCCAUUUAAUAUAAAGUUUAAAAUGUUCUACAGUUAAAAUAGAGCCAAAGUUUACUUUCUCUUUGCUGUUUUCAUAUUGAUUUAUU